AGGCUUAACACAUGCAAGUCGAGGGGCAGCAUGGUCUUAGCUUGCUAAGACUGAUGGCGACCGGCGCACGGGUGAGUAACACGUAUCCAACCUGCCGUCUACUCUUGGACAGCCUUCUGAAAGGAAGAUUAAUACAAGAUGGCAUCAUGAGUCCGCAUGUUCACAUGAUUAAAGGUAUUCCGGUAGACGAUGGGGAUGCGUUCCAUUAGAUAGUAGGCGGGGUAACGGCCCACCUAGUCUUCGAUGGAUAGGGGUUCUGAGAGGAAGGUCCCCCACAUUGGAACUGAGACACGGUCCAAACUCCUACGGGAGGCAGCAGUGAGGAAUAUUGGUCAAUGGGCGAGAGCCUGAACCAGCCAAGUAGCGUGAAGGAUGACUGCCCUAUGGGUUGUAAACUUCUUUUAUAAAGGAAUAAAGUCGGGUAUGCAUACCCGUUUGCAUGUACUUUAUGAAUAAGGAUCGGCUAACUCCGUGCCAGCAGCCGCGGUAAUACGGAGGAUCCGAGCGUUAUCCGGAUUUAUUGGGUUUAAAGGGAGCGUAGAUGGAUGUUUAAGUCAGUUGUGAAAGUUUGCGGCUCAACCGUAAAAUUGCAGUUGAUACUGGAUAUCUUGAGUGCAGUUGAGGCAGGCGGAAUUCGUGGUGUAGCGGUGAAAUGCUCAGAUAUCACGAAGAACUCCGAUUGCGAAGGCAGCCUGCUAAGCUGCAACUGACAUUGAGGCUCGAAAGUGUGGGUAUCAAACAGGAUUAGAUACCCUGGUAGUCCACACGGUAAACGAUGAAUACUCGCUGUUUGCGAUAUACUGCAAGCGGCCAAGCGAAAGCGUUAAGUAUUCCACCUGGGGAGUACGCCGGCAACGGUGAAACUCAAAGGAAUUGACGGGGGCCCGCACAAGCGGAGGAACAUGUGGUUUAAUUCGAUGAUACGCGAGGAACCUUACCCGGGCUUAAAUUGCAGAUGAAUUACGGUGAAAGCCGUAAGCCGCAAGGCAUCUGUGAAGGUGCUGCAUGGUUGUCGUCAGCUCGUGCCGUGAGGUGUCGGCUUAAGUGCCAUAACGAGCGCAACCCUUGUUGUCAGUUACUAACAGGUUCCGCUGAGGACUCUGACAAGACUGCCAUCGUAAGAUGUGAGGAAGGUGGGGAUGACGUCAAAUCAGCACGGCCCUUACGUCCGGGGCUACACACGUGUUACAAUGGGGGGUACAGAGGGCCGCUACCACGCGAGUGGAUGCCAAUCCCCAAAACCUCUCUCAGUUCGGACUGGAGUCUGCAACCCGACUCCACGAAGCUGGAUUCGCUAGUAAUCGCGCAUCAGCCACGGCGCGGUGAAUACGUUCCCGGGCCUUGUACACACCGCCCGUCAAGCCAUGGGAGCCGGGGGUACCUGAAGUGCGUAACCGCGAGGAGCGCCCUAGGGUAAAACUGGUGACUGGGGCUAAAU
rnacentral:rRNA from 1 species